GACGAACGCUGGCGGCGUGCCUAAUACAUGCAAGUAGAACGCACAGUUUAUACCGUAGCUUGCUACACCAUAGACUGUGAGUUGCGAACGGGUGAGUAACGCGUAGGUAACCUGCCUGGUAGCGGGGGAUAACUAUUGGAAACGAUAGCUAAUACCGCAUAAUAUUAAUUAUUGCAUGAUAAUUGAUUGAAAGAUGCAACUGCAUCACUACCAGAUGGACCUGCGUUGUAUUAGCUAGUAGGUGAGGUAACGGCUCACCUAGGCGACGAUACAUAGCCGACCUGUGAGGGUGAUCGGCCACACUGGGACUGAGACACGGCCCAGACUCCUACGGGAGGCAGCAGUAGGGAAUCUUCGGCAAUGGACGAAAGUCUGACCGAGCAACGCCGCGUGAGUGAAGAAGGUUUUCGGAUCGUAAAGCUCUGUUGUAAGAGAAGAACGGGUGUGAGAGUGGAAAGUUCACACUGUGACGGUAUCUUACCAGAAAGGGACGGCUAACUACGUG
rnacentral:rRNA from 1 species